UAGCCUUUUAGGGUUACCAAGAGUGACGCAUGAGAUUACACGAGCUCAACUCUUUUCCUCUUCACAAGAAUAAAGGCGCGGCGGCGAUUUCAUCUCCUUCCCCGAUUGAAACGGCGGCGAUUGCAUCUCUUUCCCCGAUCGAAACGGCGGCGAUUUCUCUCAUAUUUGAUUUUCCGAUCGGUCCCUAUCUCCGUCGAAACCUACCGGAGAGCUCCGACGGCUCUUCUACUGUAAUGACAAGAAUAUCAGAAGAACCUUUAAUCUUCAGUUCUGCGUGCGCUAUCAUGGCAUAGUGAUGAUUAUUGAUGGAGUAUUGAUGUUGCUGCAGAGAGCUUCUGAGAACAGAGUUGAGGUUGAAGAGAUGAUGAUCUUGUGGUGAGGUAUGAAGAGUGGAAGUGGAGUGAACGGGGAAGGUUGAAGAUGGCGAUUGCAGAUAGGUUUUGGUGAUGAAGAUGGAGAAAGAGUGGAUUGGAGAAUGUGAAGGUGAUGAAUGCUCAGGUGUGAAGUGUGAAGAUGGCGAUGAAGCAGGGUGAAGAAGAAGAUGAAGAAUGUUGAAGAGGGAGAGAGAGCUGAGAAGUGGUGAAUGUGCAGUGUGAAAGAUGAUGGGUGAAUAUGGUGAAGGGAAUCAAAGAAUGGAGCAGUGUUCUCAUUUAUAGAAGUUCUCAGGUUUGGUGGUUUGAAGAAGGAGCUUGGUGUAUGUGGUCAUGUAUGAGGCAUAGCAUGAUAUGGCAUUGGAAUUGAAGGAUUCUAGAAGAGAUGGGGAAGCUUGGAAGUAAAAACAUUAGCUAUCUAGGUUUAUAUUCCUUUUUUGUACAUAAUGUAAAGAGUUAAAAUGGUGUAAUCUUAUGGAGUAUAGAUACUUGUAGAUGUGUGUUUGAACAAGAAUGACAGACAUUUGGACCUUUGGGUAUGUCAUGAAUUUUUGUAUUUUUUGUAAUGGAAUUUGAAUUGUGAAAUAUGAUGUGAUGAACUCUUGAACUUGUAAAUAAUGUGUAUUUUUGUAAUCUUCAAUUGUAAUGUAUGUUGGGUUUCUUUGGAGAAUGUUGACCUUUGUAAUGAACUUUUGGUGGGAAUAUCUUCCUUAUGGACAAACAUGCAUAACACUUGAGUAUCUAGGUUUAUAUUCCUUUUUUGUACAUAAUGUAAAGAGUUAAAAUGGUGUAAUCUUAUGGAGUAUAGAUACUUGUAGAUGUGUGUUUGAACAAGAAUGACAGACAUUUGGACCUUUGGGUAUGUCAUGAAUUUUUGUAUUUUUUGUAAUGGAAUUUGAAUUGUGAAAUAUGAUGUGAUGAACUCUUGAACUUGUAAAUAAUGUGUAUUUUUGUAAUCUUCAAUUGUAAUGUAUGUUGGGUUUCUUUGGAGAAUGUUGACCUUUGUAAUGAACUUUUGGUGGGAAUAUCUUCCUUAUGGACAAACAUGCAUAACACUUGAGUAAGGUAAUAAAAUCUUGAUAAAUACCCUUUUGAAAUAUCUCUUGACCAUUCUUCGAUUUUCAUAAGAGAUUGCUUCCAAACUAAUGGAUAAAUUAUAUUUGCGUCUUAAAGAAACCUCAACUUCAAAUUGAACCUUUAGACACCUAAUGUCUUGAUGAUCCACACUUUAGUCAAAAGAAAAACCUCUUGGUUUAAAUAGCCCAAAUGAUGGAACGCUUUGAAUAGCACUUGAAUGGAGAAACCCUAAUCAAUGAUAUCCUUGAUCUCUGUGCCAAGCUAUUGAUUAAUGAUGCAUGAGUUAGAUGAUCUAAUGGAUGGUAUGCAGAUGGUUGAGAAUUAUACGCCAAUUAUAAAU